CAGAGAGCCCAUGGGUUCAGGUGGGGAAGCAGAUGAAUGUCCCCAAAAGCCUUCCUCAUUCAUUUUGGACUCACUGACUGCAAGCAGCUUAAAGUCCUUGCAAAGAAAGAAGUUGUGCCCUGUCUCUCAGCAUUGACCACAGCAGAGAGCCUAGGAUGUGAAUGGGUGUCAAUAUUCAUCUGCUGAAUGAAUAGCUGCAGAUGAAGAGAUUGCUUCGCUUCAAACCUCCUGACUGCCAUGGAACCAUCUGGCACGUGCACGUGUGUGGCGAGGUGAGACACCAGCUAACACUAAAGUCUUCAGCUGGUCAUAACCUUGAAGCAUAUUCCCAUUCAGGAAAAUCUUCUCUUAGGAACGAGAAUGAGGAAAAACAAAGAUGGUGAAGGUAAUGGAAAAUGUCAUCUUGCCAUGAGUUUGAAUUUCCUUCUUAGGUAGGUGUUGGCCCAGUAUGAAAAGGAAAUACUGUGAAUAGAGAGAAAUUAGAAUUAGAAUUUUAUAUUUGAACAUAAAAACACUACCAUUAGCAAUGUAUACCCUAAAUCAAAAAACGCAAACAGAACAGUAAAACAAAAAGCCUCAAAAGAAAUAAACAAACAAAAACCAAAAUAACAAUAAAAUAACUCUGGAAAGCUAAUGCCUAGGAAGCCAGACGAGAAGUCGGGAAGGAUGGAGAUUUGUAUGGCCAGCGCUAGGGUAUACUCAGUGAAACUGGCUCACACACAUUGCUGGAGGCAGGGUAAAAUCAUUCAACGGUUUUGGAAAGCAACUUGAAAAUGUGUACCAAAACUCAUUACUGUGUUUGAACCUUUUACCUCAAGCAUUCCACAUCUGUGAGAGUAAUCUAAUUAAAUACUAAUUCAAAAUAUGGUAAAAUACAUCCAUUGCUGUAUCAUUUAUAAUUGUGAAAAAAAUGGAGUUCACUUGGAUGUUCAAUAAAAAGUGAACAACUAGAUAAACCCAAUAGCAUAUUAUGAAAGUAUGAAAGAUAAUAAUUGCAAAGCUGAAAACUCUUAGAAACAUAGAAAGGUAC
rnacentral:lncRNA from 1 species